rnacentral:rRNA from 1 species
CUGGCUCAGGACGAACGCUGGCGGCGUGCUUAACACAUGCAAGUCGAACGAUGAUGCCCAGCUUGCUGGGUGGAUUAGUGGCGAACGGGUGAGUAACACGUGAGUAACCUGCCCCUGACUCUGGGAUAAGCGUUGGAAACGACGUCUAAUACUGGAUAUGACUGCCGGCCGCAUGGUCUGGUGGUGGAAAGAUUUUUUGGUUGGGGAUGGACUCGCGGCCUAUCAGCUUGUUGGUGAGGUAAUGGCUCACCAAGGCGACGACGGGUAGCCGGCCUGAGAGGGUGACCGGCCACACUGGGACUGAGACACGGCCCAGACUCCUACGGGAGGCAGCAGUGGGGAAUAUUGCACAAUGGGCGAAAGCCUGAUGCAGCAACGCCGCGUGAGGGAUGACGGCCUUCGGGUUGUAAACCUCUUUUAGUAGGGAAGAAGGGAGCUUGCUCUUGACGGUACCUGCAGAAAAAGCACCGGCUAACUACGUGCCAGCAGCCGCGGUAAUACGUAGGGUGCAAGCGUUGUCCGGAAUUAUUGGGCGUAAAGAGCUCGUAGGCGGUUUGUCGCGUCUGCUGUGAAAUCCCGAGGCUCAACCUCGGGCUUGCAGUGGGUACGGGCAGACUAGAGUGCGGUAGGGGAGAUUGGAAUUCCUGGUGUAGCGGUGGAAUGCGCAGAUAUCAGGAGGAACACCGAUGGCGAAGGCAGAUCUCUGGGCCGUAACUGACGCUGAGGAGCGAAAGCAUGGGGAGCGAACAGGAUUAGAUACCCUGGUAGUCCAUGCCGUAAACGUUGGGCGCUAGAUGUAGGGACCUUUCCACGGUUUCUGUGUCGUAGCUAACGCAUUAAGCGCCCCGCCUGGGGAGUACGGCCGCAAGGCUAAAACUCAAAGGAAUUGACGGGGGCCCGCACAAGCGGCGGAGCAUGCGGAUUAAUUCGAUGCAACGCGAAGAACCUUACCAAGGCUUGACAUACACCGGAAACGGCCAGAGAUGGUCGCCCCCUUGUGGUCGGUGUACAGGUGGUGCAUGGUUGUCGUCAGCUCGUGUCGUGAGAUGUUGGGUUAAGUCCCGCAACGAGCGCAACCCUCGUUCUAUGUUGCCAGCGCGUUAUGGCGGGGACUCAUAGGAGACUGCCGGGGUCAACUCGGAGGAAGGUGGGGAUGACGUCAAAUCAUCAUGCCCCUUAUGUCUUGGGCUUCACGCAUGCUACAAUGGCCGGUACAAAGGGCUGCGAUACCGUAAGGUGGAGCGAAUCCCAAAAAGCCGGUCUCAGUUCGGAUUGAGGUCUGCAACUCGACCUCAUGAAGUCGGAGUCGCUAGUAAUCGCAGAUCAGCAACGCUGCGGUGAAUACGUUCCCGGGCCUUGUACACACCGCCCGUCAAGUCAUGAAAGUCGGUAACACCCGAAGCCGGUGG